rnacentral:rRNA from 1 species
AACGGCCGUACCAUGCUGAAUAUACCGGUUCUCGUUAGAUCCGCGAAGUCAAGCAUCAUUGGGCGCGGCCAGUACUUACGUGGGUGCCC